GAUGAACGCUGGCGGCGUGCUUAACACAUGCAAGUCGAACGGACAGGCCAUGCUCUUGCUGGGUGCUCGUUUGGCGAAGGGGUGAGUAACACGUGUGUAUCCUCCCCUUGUAUUUGUGAUAUAUUCUGGAAACUGGGGCUAAUAUCGGAUAGGAUCUCUUGCUGCAUGGUGGGCGUUGGAAAGUUUCGGCGGUUGGGGCAGGUUUGGCGGGUUACCAGCUUGUUGGUGUGGUAGGGGAUUACCAAGGCUUCGAAGGGUAGCCGGCAUGGGCGGGGGGCCGGCCACAUUGGGACUGAGGUACGGCGCAGACUCCAACGGGCGGCAACGGUGGAAAAUAUUACACAGUGGGCGGGAGCCAGUGACAACGACGCCGCGUGCGGGAAGACGGCCUUCGGGGUGUAAACCGCUUUCGCCUGUGACGAAGCGUGAGUGACGGUAAUGAAUAAAGAAGCACCGGCUAACUACGUG
rnacentral:rRNA from 1 species